rnacentral:misc_RNA from 1 species
CUUUCUCCAAGGGCCCAUUCCUUCAUCCCUUGCUUCCUUACGGGGUCUCCAAUUCUUAGACCUGUCAAGAAACAACUUAUCAGGAAAGAUUCCAAAAGAGAUAGAAAAGCUUCCUUUUUUGAAAUAUCUGAAUCUCUCUUUCAAUAAUCUUGAGGGUGAGGUACCAACCAAGGGAGUGUUCAGCAAUUUAACGGCAGCUUCACUUGUUGGAAACAAAAAUCUUUGUGGAGGUUUCCCAGAAUUGCAACUACCAGCAUGCCUCAUCAAGCGAAAGAAACAAAAAAGGUCUCCUAUUGCCAUUAUCCUUGCAACAAUCAUCAGUUCAAUUGUCCUUUUCAUGGUGAUAACAUCUUUAAGGGUUUUGUGCUGGCGAAAAUCAAGAAAGAAUCCAUCAUCCAGUCCUUUUAGUUUGGAUAAGCUCCUUCGAAUUUCCUAUAAGGAGCUUCACCAAGCAACUCAGGGAUUCUCUUUAGAAAACUUAAUUGGACAAGGUAG